rnacentral:rRNA from 1 species
GUCCGGUGAACACUUUGGAUUUGAGAUUGGUUGUCUGUAAAAGGAUGGUUAAUCUGGGAGAAGUCGUGUAAAUCUUAUCAUUUAGAGGAAGGUGAAGUCGUAACAAGGUU